rnacentral:rRNA from 1 species
AUGACAUUGCUAAACACAUUCAUGUCAGUGGAUCAGAUAUUUGAGUUUGUUAGAGAUGCGGAUUGUUAUCUAAAUGUCUCAAUUGCUUAUCGUAUCCUUUUGACCGUACCUGUUACUAUUGCAUCAGCUGAAAGGAGUUUCUCAAAAUUGAAACUAUUGAAAAAUUAUUUGAGGUCAACGAUGUCUCAAGAAAGAUUGAAUGGAUUGGCCAUGUGCUGCAUUGAGAAGAAUAUGCUGGAUAGUAUUGAUCUUGACACUCUCAUUGAUGAUUUUGCGUCAAAAAAUGCACGAAAGUCUCAUUUCACAUGA